CCGUGAGGAUUAUUAUUGUAGGGGAACAACAAAGCCAUGACAAUUUAUUGUCUCCUCUGCAAGGUUAACAAGUUGCAGCACUGAUCAGCUGAAGCACUAUUGUGUGCAUGCUAGGAAGAAAGGAGGGAAGAACAAUGUUAAUUCUAUCAAAGCUGUGCUCCCUCCUAACCAAAAGGGACAGCAGAGCAUCCAAAGGGCUGCAUCUUGGACCUGCCAAGGAGGAAAGGAUUGCAUCAGAGAUAACGCACUGAGCAAGCAGAUCUGUCCAGAGCUGGCCUGCGCAGAAGCUGUUGGCAAUGGACACAAGAGGCACAUUGAUGGGAAAUGUCUUGAGAAAAGGGAACUGUACCCAAGAUGAAAGGAGCU